rnacentral:rRNA from 1 species
CCUACGGGUGGCAGCAGUGGGGCAUAUUGGACAAUGGGCGAAAGCCUGAUCCAGCCAUGCCGCGUGUGUGAAGAAGGCCUUCGGGUUGUAAAGCACUUUCAGUGGGGAAGAAAGCCUUGGGGCUAAUACCCUCGAGGAAGGACAUCACCCACAGAAGAAGCACCGGCUAACUCCGUGCCAGCAGCCGCGGUAAUACGGAGGGUGCGAGCGGUAAUCGGAAUUACUGGGCGUAAAGCGCGCGUAGGCGGUCUGAUAAGCCGGUUGUGAAAGCCCCGGGCUCAACCUGGGAACGGCAUCCGGAACUGUCAGGCUAGAGUGCAGGAGAGGAAGGUAGAAUUCCCGGUGUAGCGGUGAAAUGCGUAGAGAUCGGGAGGAAUACCAGUGGCGAAGGCGGCCUUCUGGACUGACACUGACGCUGAGGUGCGAAAGCGUGGGUAGCAAACAGGAUUAGAUACCCCAGUAGUC